UGGGGAAUAUUGCACAAUGGGCGCAAGCCUGAUGCAGCCAUGCCGCGUGUGUGAAGAAGGCCUUCGGGUUGUAAAGCACUUUCAGCGGGGAGGAAGGCGUUAAGGUUAAUAACCUUGGCGAUUGACGUUACCCGCAGAAGAAGCACCGGCUAACUCCGUGCCAGCAGCCGCGGUAAUACGGAGGGUGCAAGCGUUAAUCGGAAUUACUGGGCGUAAAGCGCACGCAGGCGGUUGAUUGAGUCAGAUGUGAAAUCCCCGGGCUUAACCCGGGAAUUGCAUCUGAUACUGGUCAGCUAGAGUCGUGUAGAGGGGGGUAGAAUUCCAUGUGUAGCGGUGAAAUGCGUAGAGAUGUGGAGGAAUACCGGUGGCGAAGGCGGCCCCCUGGACAAAGACUGACGCUCAGGUGCGAAAGCGUGGGGAGCAAACAGG
rnacentral:rRNA from 1 species